rnacentral:miRNA from 1 species
GUGUACCCAUUGGAAGUUUUCGG